UACGGAGGGGGCUAGCGUUGUUCGGAAUUACUGGGCGUAAAGCGCACGUAGGCGGACCAGCAAGUUGGGGGUGAAAUCCCGGGGCUCAACCCCGGAACUGCCUUCAAAACUGCGGGUCUGGAGGUCGAGAGAGGUGAGUGGAAUUCCGAGUGUAGAGGUGAAAUUCGUAGAUAUUCGGAGGAACACCAGUGGCGAAGGCGGCUCACUGGCCCGGUACUGACGCUGAUGCGCGAAAGCGUGGGUAGCAAACAGG
rnacentral:rRNA from 1 species